GCCGGGCGUGGUGGUGCACGCCUGUAAUCCCAGCUACUCAGGAGGCUGAGCCAGGAGAAUCACUUGAACCCAGGAGGCGGAGGUUGCAGUGAGCCGAGAUCGUGCCAUUGCACUCCAGCCUGGGUGACAGAGCGAGACUCUGUCUCAA
rnacentral:SRP_RNA from 1 species